rnacentral:rRNA from 1 species
AAUGGGCGAAAGCCUGAUGCAGCGACGCCGCGUGAGUGAAGAAGUAUCUCGGUAUGUAAAGCUCUAUCAGCAGGGAAGAAAAUGACGGUACCUGACUAAGAAGCCCCGGCUAACUACGUGCCAGCAGCCGCGGUAAUACGUAGGGGGCAAGCGUUAUCCGGAUUUACUGGGUGUAAAGGGAGCGUAGACGGCGAUGCAAGUCUGAAGUGAAAGCCCGGGGCUCAACCCCGGGACUGCUUUGGAAACUGUGUGGCUGGAGUGCAGGAGAGGUAAGUGGAAUUCCUAGUGUAGCGGUGAAAUGCGUAGAUAUUAGGAGGAACACCAGUGGCGAAGGCGGCUUACUGGACUGUAACUGACGUUGAGGCUCGAAAGCGUGGGGAGCAAA